rnacentral:tRNA from 1 species
GGGCGCGUAGCUCAGCGGUAGAGCACUACGUUGACAUCGUAGGGGUCACAAGUUCGAACCUUGUCGUGCCCACCA